rnacentral:rRNA from 1 species
GAGUUUGAUCCUGGCUCAGAGCGAACGCUGGCGGCAGGCUUAACACAUGCAAGUCGAGCGGGCGUAGCAAUACGUCAGCGGCAGACGGGUGAGUAACGCGUAGGAACGUACCUUUUGGUUCGGAACAACACAGGGAAACUUGUGCUAAUACCGGAUAAGCCCUUACGGGGAAAGAUUUAUCGCCGAAAGAUCGGCCCGCGUCUGAUUAGCUAGUUGGUGAGGUAAUGGCAUCCCAAGGCGACGAUCAGUAGCUGGUCUGAGAGGAUGAUCAGCCACAUUGGGACUGAGACACGGCCCAAACUCGUACGGGAGGCAGCAGUGGGGAAUAUUGGACAAUGGGCGCAAGCCUGAUCCAGCCAUGCCGCGUGAGUGAUGAAGGCCCUAGGGUUGUAAAGCUCUUAUGUGCGGGAAGAUAAUGACGGUACCGCAAGAAUAAGCCCCGGCUAACUUCGUGCCAGCAGCCGCGGUAAUACG